rnacentral:rRNA from 1 species
GGCGACCAUAGCGUUAUGGACCCACCUGAUCCCUUGCCGAACUCAGUAGUGAAACGUAAUAGCGCCGAUGGUAGUGUGGGGUCUCCCCAUGUGAGAGUAGGACAUCGCCAGGC